rnacentral:rRNA from 1 species
GACGUAGGGUGCAAGCGUUGUCCGGAUUUACUGGGCGUAAAGGGCGCGUAGGCGGUCUGUUAAGUGGGAAGUGAAAUCUCCAGGGCUCAACCCGGAAACUGCUUUCUAUACUGGCAGGCUGGAGGGAUGCAGAGGUGUGUGGAAUUCCUGGUGAAGCGGUGAAAUGCGUAGAUAUCAGGAGGAACACCGGUGGCGAAGGCGGCUCUCUGGACGGUGACUGACGCUGAGACGCGAAAGCGUGGGGAGCAAACAGG